rnacentral:rRNA from 1 species
UACGGGGGGAGCAAGCGUUGUUCGGAUUUACUGGGCGUAAAGGGCGCGUAGGCGGUCAGCACAAGUCAGUUGUGAAAUCUCCGGGCUUAACUCGGAAAGGUCAACUGAUACUGUGCGACUAGAGUGCAGAAGGGGCAACUGGAAUUCUCGGUGUAGCGGUGAAAUGCGUAGAUAUCGAGAGGAACACCUGCGGCGAAGGCGGGUUGCUGGGCUGACACUGACGCUGAUGCGCGAAAGCCAGGGGAGCAAACGGG